rnacentral:rRNA from 1 species
UACGGGGGGGGCAAGCGUUGUCCGGAAUUAUUGGGCGUAAAGAGCUCGUAGGCGGUUUGUUGCGUCGGCCGUGAAAACCUGCAGCUUAACUGUGGGCCUGCGGCCGAUACGGGCAGACUUGAGUUCGGUAGGGGAGACUGGAAUUCCUGGUGUAGCGGUGAAAUGCGCAGAUAUCAGGAGGAACACCGGUGGCGAAGGCGGGUCUCUGGGCCGAUACUGACGCUGAGGAGCGAAAGCGUGGGGAGCGAACAGG